rnacentral:rRNA from 1 species
UUUUAUGGAGAGUUUGAUCCUGGCUCAGGACGAACGCUGGCGGCGUGCCUAAUACAUGCAAGUCGAGCGAAUGAUGAGAAGCUUGCUUCUCUGAUUUAGCGGCGGACGGGUGAGUAACACGUGGGCAACCUGCCCUGUAGACUGGGAUAACUUCGGGAAACCGGAGCUAAUACCGGAUAAUUCUUUUAGCCUCAUGGCUUUAAGCUAAAAGGCGCUUCGGCGUCACUACAGGAUGGGCCCGCGGUGCAUUAGCUAGUUGGUGGGGUAACGGCCUACCAAGGCAACGAUGCAUAGCCGACCUGAGAGGGUGAUCGGCCACAUUGGGACUGAGACACGGCCCAAACUCCUACGGGAGGCAGCAGUAGGGAAUCUUCCACAAUGGACGAAAGUCUGAUGGAGCAACGCCGCGUGAGUGAUGAAGGUUUUCGGAUCGU